UACGGAAGGCAGCGGUGGGGAAUAUUGCACAAUGGGCGCAAGCCUGAUGCAGCCAUGCCGCGUGUAUGAAGAAGGCCUUCGGGUUGUAAAGUACUUUCAGUCGUGAGGAAGGUGUUAAGGUUAAUAACCUUAGCAAUUGACGUUAGCGACAGAAGAAGCACCGGCUAACUCCGUGCCAGCAGCCGCGGUAAUACGGAGGGUGCGAGCGUUAAUCGGAAUUACUGGGCGUAAAGGGCACGCAGGCGGUUAAUUAAGUUGGAUGUGAAUCCCCGGGCUUAACCUGGGAAUGGCAUUCAAGACUGGUUAGCUAGAGUCUUGUAGAGGGGGUAGAAUUCCAUGUGUAGCGGUGAAAUGCGUAGAGAUGUGGAGGAAUACCGGUGGCGAAGGCGGCCCCUGGACAAAGACUGACGCUCAUGUGCGAAAGCGUGGGGAGCAAACAGGGAUUAGAUACC
rnacentral:rRNA from 1 species